AAAUUGGCUGUGAAGAGAAGAGUACGCACCGUAUGCGCCUGACAGAAAGCCCGAAGGAUGGAACCGGGCAGGCCGCGCGAUGCCGAAGAUGGUCUCGGAGCUGCGCAGGUGAAAAUUGAGCCUGCGACGGGUGCGCCCGUUACCGCGCUGCGCCGUGCUUUUUGGCCCGGCAAAAGGCUGCGCCCGCAAGGGUGCGGCGAAGCAAGGUGGUACCACGAAAGUUUCAGGCUCUCGUCCUUGUC
rnacentral:ncRNA from 1 species